rnacentral:rRNA from 1 species
AUUGAACGCUGGCGGCAUGCCUACACAUGCAAGUCGAACGGCAGCACGGGAGAAAUCCUGGUGGCGAGUGGCGAACGGGUGAGUAAAGUAUCGGAACGUGCCCAGUCGUGGGGGAUAACGUAGCGAAAGUUACGCUAAUACCGCAUACGAUCUAUGGAUGAAAGCGGGGGAUCGCAAGACCUCGCGCGAUUGGAGCGGCCGAUAUCAGAUUAGGUAGUUGGUGGGGUAAAGGCCCACCAAGCCGACGAUCUGUAGCUGGUCUGAGAGGACGACCAGCCACACUGGGACUGAGACACGGCCCAGACUCCUACGGGAGGCAGCAGUGGGGAAUUUUGGACAAUGGGCGAAAGCCUGAUCCAGCCAUGCCGCGUGCAGGAUGAAGGCCUUCGGGUUGUAAACUGCUUUUGUACGGAACGAAAAGGACUGCCCUAAUACGGUGGUCCCAUGACGGUACCGUAAGAAUAAGCACCGGCUAACUACGUGCCAGCCGCCGCCGUAA